CAGGGAAGGCCCAUUCGAGGUAUAUGGCCGCUUGGGAGCGAAGGCGAAGAAGCCCCAGAGAGGAACGAAGAUAAAGGUUCCUGCCCAAGACUGCCUGCAUGGGGGACUGCUGCAUAUUAUUGGAGGAGCCAGAAAGACUUCGCUGCUCCUGGACGGAGGAAGCAUUGGUAGAGGGAGUCUCGGAGCUCAAAGGAAACUAGCCCAAGCCUUAGUCCUGGUACAACAGCGAGACGGGGACUUCCAGCUUUGCAGCUUCUGUGAGCGGCCGGAGGCUGGGGAGCCCUGGCGACGGCGGCGAGGGCGCCCGUGGAUUAGGGUGUGGAUUGCAGGACAGACCUUUGUUUGGUCACAUUCUCAACGGGGGUGCGGGGGAGGGUCAUUCUCCUUCGAGAUCGCGCUAGAUUUUUAUAGACUCGCCUUAAAAGAACUCGCCGCUCUUCAUAGGGUUAAUUUAUGGGGCUUUCGAGGAAUACUGGGGACUUUUAAAACUCUAUUUUUUUUCCCAUUAAUUUUUUUUUUUUCGGUUCUACUAAAGUGACGCCCGGGUUUCAGCACCUCGCAGGAAGAGGGUGGGGGUGGGAGAAAAAACAGGGCCAGGAGGGAAAGGCGAGGAUGAGCCUCCUAACCAAAGCGCUUACAGGGCCCAGGCUGCACAACGUAUUUUUAAAAAUUAAAUUUCUAAUCAUGUUGUGGGCCGUAAAACUCAGAUUUAGGAAGUGGGGGGAAAUUGAAACAAAUGUGGGCUCUAUCUACCUUUUUCCAGGUCUCCACCAAUUUGAAUUCAGUAUUAGGGAGAAGAAUUUGGGGCCUUAAAAAUGUUAAGUUUAAAAAAGUACAGACCAGAGGAAGGAUUAGAGUAGCAGGUGAGGGGGGCGGGAAGGAAAAGCCCCUGGACCGCGGACGGUCUGCGCGGGGUUGCUGCCCCAGCUCUCCCCAGCCUCAGGAGCCCAGAGGUGGGCGACCAGGACUGAAGGCUUGGGAUGCCUGGGCUCCUGGGGGCCCCGACCUCCAGCUCGCCAUCUUUGAUCCCAAGAGGAGGAGGCUGGUGUUCAUGCUAUAGAUUACGUUAAAGGUUCCUUUAAGCACUUUAAUACACAACUAGCUCAGAAAUCAUUAAGAGACCUAGAGAAGGAGAAAAAAUACCCUCACACUCACCGGUAAUAAAUGUUGACCUGCAGCAAAAAUCGAUUGAGUGGAACCGAGGUGGUGGCAGUAACGAUGGCUGGG
ensembl:lncRNA